rnacentral:rRNA from 1 species
UACGGGGGGUGCAAACGUUGCUCGGAAUUAUUGGGCGUAAAGCGCACGUAGGCGGAUUUGUAAGUCAGGGGUGAAAUCCCGGGGCUCAACCUCGGAACUGCCUUUGAUACUGCAAAUCUCGAGUCCGGAAGAGGUGAGUGGAAUUCCUAGUGUAGAGGUGAAAUUCGUAGAUAUUAGGAAGAACACCAGUGGCGAAGGCGGCUCACUGGUCCGGUACUGACGCUGAGGUGCGAAAGCGUGGGGAGCAAACAGG